rnacentral:sRNA from 1 species
AGUGCGUGUCUGUGUGUGCGUGUGUGCGUACCUCUCAAUCUAUGUGUGCGUGUGCCUGUGUGUGUGUGUGUGCUAGUCGCGCAUGUGACUGCCAGCUGCGUUCGUUUAAAUUCAACUAAAGGAAUGAAAAACUAAAUGCAAAUAAGCAGGCGAGAAAAACGAGAACGUAAACGAGAACGAAAACGAAGACAAAAACAAAAACAAAAACAAGCAACAGCAAAUGCAAACAUAAAACGAACAGAGAAACAACAAUUGAAGUUAAGGAAACGGAAGCGAGUUUUUCUUUUGGCGGCGUUGUUGUUGUUGUCUUCCGUGACAGCAGCCAAGAGCUAGCGAAAAGUUGAUAGCAGCAAAAGCCAGAAAGGGCCGGCAGAGAAUGAAACAAAGGCCAGGGCAGCGGGCAUCAACAGGAGAAGCAGCAACAGCAGCAACAGCAACAGCAGCAACAGCAACAGCAGCAA